GGGAAUAUUGGACAAUGGGCGCAAGCCUGAUCCAGCAAUGCCGCGUGGGUGAAGAAGGUUUUCGGAUUGUAAAGCCCUUUCGGCGGGGACGAUGAUGACGGUACCCGCAGAAGAAGCUCCGGCUAACUUCGUGCCAGCAGCCGCGGUAAUACGAAGGGGGCUAGCGUUGCUCGGAAUGACUGGGCGUAAAGGGCGCGUAGGCGGUUGGUACAGUCAGAUGUGAAAUUCCUGGGCUUAACCUGGGGGCUGCAUUUGAUACGUGCUGGCUUGAGUGGGGAAGAGGGUCGUGGAAUUCCCAGUGUAGAGGUGAAAUUCGUAGAUAUUGGGAAGAACACCGGUGGCGAAGGCGGCGACCUGGUCCUUGACUGACACUGAGGGACGAAAGCUAGGGGAGCGAAAG
rnacentral:rRNA from 1 species